rnacentral:rRNA from 1 species
CCUACGGGUGGCAGCAGUGGGGAAUAUUGGACAAUGGGGGAAACCCUGAUCCAGCGACGCCGCGUGAGUGAAGAAGUAUUUCGGUACGUAAAGCUCUAUCAGCAGGAAAGAAAAUGACGGUACCUGGCUAAGAAGCACCGGCUAACUACGUGCCAGCAGCCGCGGUAAUAAGUAGGGGGCAAGCGUUAUCCGGAUUUACUGGGUGUAAAGGGAGCGUAGACGGCAGCGCAAGUCUGGAAUGAAAUGCCGGGGGCCAACCCCGGAACUGCUCUGGAAACUGUGAAGCUUGAGUGCAGGAGAGGUGAGCGGAAUUCCUGGUGUAGCGGUGAAAUGCGUAGAUAUCAGGAGGAACACCGGCGGCGAAGGCGGCUUACUGGACUGUAACUGACGUUGAGGCUCGAAGGCGUGGGGAGCAAACAGGAUUAGAUACCCUGGUAGUC